UGGUGGAGCGAUUUGUCUGGUUAAUUCCGAUAACGAACGAGACUCUGGCAUGCUAAAUAGUUACGCGACCUUCUCGGUCGGCGUCUAACUUCUUAGAGGGACUAGUGGCGUUUAGCCACACGAGAUUGAGCAAUAACA
rnacentral:rRNA from 1 species